rnacentral:lncRNA from 1 species
AUCUGAACAUCCGGCUCGACAUUUGGCACUUUAUGAGGAGGUUUUCGGUGAUUCCCACCAGCUGUAUGCCACUUUCAUGGGUCGCCUCAGCCACUGCAUCUUCAUGUGGGAUGAAGACAACCUGAAGGCCCUGAAAAUAGCAAAGCAGUCAGAGCUAGAAGCUAAAGGCCGAACUCCAUCUGAGGCAGAUGUACUCUGGUCUAUCAGCCAAAGUGAGCUUGCCCUGCACUGCAAGAGGACCACCCGCGGUGUUCGGGAGACACAGGUUCUCAUUGAAAGGCUCAUCCAGCGCUUGGAUUGUGACAACGGUCGUGACACUCUGGGAGUCCCACUGAUAAACUCAGCAAGAAUGAGUGAAAUCGUUAAAUCCCAGAAGAAACAUGUCACCUGCAUCCAGGAUCCACAAGGGAUCCAGCUUUACCUGCAGAUGGGAAAUGUCCUGAAGGGAGGUCACCGUCUGCCCACGUACCGCUGUGCCCGAGGUUCUACGUCACUGGAGUCUUUUCAUCUUCACCUGAACCGUUUCAUCCCUGGUAAACAUUGUCAUACUUUAUUUGUUUUUGUUUUUCUUACAAAAGUAUUCUGUGACUACACUGAAAUAAAACAUGACGGAUCCUAAAGAAUCAGAUUAAUUGCAAGUCUUCUAAUGACUAUAAACAGAAAUAUGUUGUUGGAACAAUAUGUAUGAUGAAUAUUUUUUUAUUCUCUGUUUUCUGAAUUACUUUAUAGGGACCCUGGCAAGUGAUGUCUUCUUCCAGGCCUAUCUUUUGGAUGGGCUAUCAAGGUGGAAUGAGGACCGGGCUGUGGCAGCAUUAAAGGAUGAGCAGUCGUGCUCAUACAACCAUCUGCUCCGUCAUGCUGCUAACACCCUAGCAGAGGAGGUUCUGGGCGAAAAGAUCAUCCCUUAUGUCGGGCCAAGACAAUACACAGGUGAGCUUAUAGGUGUGGAAUACCUCUAUCAGCAAACUGGCAAAGUUCUGCAGGACUACAAAGUGGUCAUUGAAGAGUCUGAGACCACUGAAGUUGAGAUAGAUGAGGGCUUCACAGGACAUGACAGUACCCACACUAGAGGCAGAGCAAGCACUUCUCGCCUCACAAGCAUCUGCAGCUGUUCCUGGUUCCUCAGCAGCUCCAUCUCCUCAGGCUACUGCCUUUGUGCCUCCCAUUCCCCCCGUUAUCCCUCUGUUGCCAGUGACUCAGUCACAUGUCGCCUCAUCAUCAGCUUCUGCAGCUCCUUCACCUGCUGUGACCGCUCUGCUCCCCCAUUCCACACAAACAGUUUCUCCUGCAGAACAGUCU